AGCUUAGUUUUUAUCUCAGUACUAGGAAAAUGGGAUCAUAAAUAGAGAAGGCAUAUCAAGGAAAUAUUCAGGUGUUAAUGAAAGCAAGAACGAGUGGGAAAAGAGAGACAGAGGAAGGACCAGGAAAAGAAGACUGAAAUUAUUGGAGAGAAGGGGAGACCGAUUUUGAUGAAUUCCUGAAGACUCUGAAGGAUUCCUGCAUCCUAAGCCUGUGGAAAGUGACAGGACAGGACUGAAUUAUGAGACUCCACAACAACACUGAUAGAAUUUUCCCACCUGUUCAAUUACUGUGCUAAUUCCAAGACCAAAACUAGGGGAAAAAUCAUUUGUAAACAUAUAAAGUUCAAAAACCUAAUGACUUCAAGAAGUUAAGGUGCAUUCUUCAGAAGUCCUUCAUGGUUAUGACAGAUCUUGGGAAGCUGACCAGACUGGAAUCCAUUCUAAAGAAGAACAUGAGGCAAUGGCAGAGACAUGGGGUUUGCAAUGAUUUUUAAAAAGCAAAACUCUAGAAACCCCCAAUUUCACAAGUGUUACUUACUCUUUCAUGAGCUAAACUGAAACCAUCCCAACAUCUGAAAAAAGCCUUUAGUUUUACAUCAUUCUCCAAAUAAAACACACAAUAACCAUGAAUAAAGCUGAGCAUUUUAAGCUCAGUGUUGCUUCAUGCUUAAAAUGUCAAUUGCUGAGCUUUUAGGACAGGCAGACGAAUAACUGCUUACAGAGUGAAGGUGAUAUGGUUGUAAAAAAAGAGAUUAAUAACACUGAAUCUAGACAGAUGUAGUUCAAAUUAGGUUUAUUUUGAAGGGAAACACAAUCUAAAUCUUUGCAGAACACAAUCCUGAGACUAACCUAACCAGACACUGGUGCUCCACACUGAUUCUGCUACCACCCCAGGAAAAGAUUCGGGCAACACUAUGAAAGAGAGAAAGAUUCUCUUGAUUUCCACACCAAGCACUGGAGGCAUCAGGGGGAUAUCAGGCAACAGGAACAAAUCUUUCCAAGAAGCCCACAGAUUAGAGGAUAAGCUGCACAGUGUGUUAGGAGGAAGCUCUGUUAUCAGUGGCAGUUGUCAACAAUGGGUAAAAUACAAAGGCAAAUACAUCUUAAGAAGGAUUUAAAAAUGACUAUUUAGCAAAUGGAAGCAGGGGGAAAUAUCCGUAAGUGAUUAGAUGAGGAGAAAAGUAAUAACAGUAGGAAAUUUGAGUGACUGUGUAACUACUGAGCUGUACUUGAAGAAGCAGGGACCCUGAAUUUUACUUCUUUUAUAUCUGAUACAACCCUAGCCUAGGGCUGAUACCAUAGUUUAUGUUCAGCAGAAUUUCAUUGGUUGAAAUGUGUGAACUUGACUAAAAGGAACGGAAAGCAUUGGGACUCUAGGUUUUGCGUUCUUUUUUCUCAUCUGGAGAUAAGCAUUUACAGUUUCAAGUCAAUUCUUCUAAAAACUACUGAAUGUAGUUUUGAGGUUCCAUGCUAUUUGAUCAGUAUAAAAAAUAGCAGACUUAAAGGAGUUGCUAAGUUUUGAAGAUGUGCCCCUCAGGAAGACCUUUUAAGAAAGACAUGCAAAUAAGCACCGGCCCAUCUGAUGAAAGCAUAAAGACAAACCAUGGAAAGUGAGAAAGUCUGAAGGAAUUAAAUAGGGACAGAAAUAUGAAUUACAUACAUCUCUUUUUUUGUUUUAAUUGAAGUCUGUGGAAGAUGUUUUAAGGCAUUUGAUACAAGUAUUCUAAAAAUAGGUAGAAUGCUUAGGGAUGAUUAGUAGAUGUUGAGUUAAAGGUAAAUGUAUAUUUUGAAGGUUGAAAUAGAAUUUAUGUGAGUUACUCAUGUUUUAAAACUAUCUGAUUUAAACACUGAAAAUACUGAGUUGACUUUGGUGAAGCCCUGUAUAGAAAACUGUUAUAAAAAUGAAACUAAUUAACAGUGAAUGGGCCUUUACUGGUCAUCUAGUAUACUUCUCUGACUUUACUACAUAUGCAUCAUUUUUCACCUUGUCUCAAAAGUUUUCCUCUAGUUUCCUUUUUUAAAACAAUCUUUAUUGUAAGGAAGUCCUUUUUGAGAUUUCUUCCAUUGUAACUUGAAGUCCUAAAUUCUGCCAGCUGUAUUUAUUCUGUCCUCGAAGGAGCUGAAUAUUUGAUCAAUUGUCUUUUUGAACAAAAUGUACUUUGUUUUGCAUCUUCCCCCCACCCCAGGGUUAUUUUUUUCCAGUCCAUGAGUUAUUUUUUAUUGCUUUCUUCUGAGCCCUUUCCAAGUCAUCUACAUUUCUGGAUCUGUCUGUACAUUGUUUAGUCCUUUAACUUCAUGGAUGAAUACUGAAGGACAAUGAAGAAAUAGCCCUUUUCUUUCUCAAGCUUCAGAAUUCAAGGCGGUUAUUAUUACUGUUGUUGUUGCCAUUAUUAUAUAUUUUUAAAACCUGAAAAGGAUAGUCUCCAAGAUUUGAUCAUUAAAAUAAUUUAGUCUCAAGAAAAUAAGAAAUUAAACGAGGCUGCUUUUUACAAAGAAAAGAAUAGAUUUCAGAGAAACCUGGGUUGGGAACUUAGGUUUUCCACACAGCAGAAUGUGCUGUUAGGACAGUUACUCUCCAAGCCUCUAUUUCUACAUCUCUAAGUUGGAACUGAUAAUUUCCUUUGCAGGGUUAUAAGGAGAAUUAAAUAAGAUCAUUAUACAAAGAGACUUACACAUAGCCAGUUCCAUAUUCACUGAGUUAGUUAUUAUGAAAAUAUGGAGGCCCCUGACACAGAGUAUAGUGCUGAGAUUUUCUCUACCUUAAUGCAUUUCUGCUUUCUUGGAAAUAUGGAGCUUUCUAAGAGAUGGAGGUGGUAGGGAAAAGGGAAAGCAUUGCAUCAAAGAUGAGAGGCCAAAAGAUUGACUUAAUGAAGGGAAAAAAAAUGACUGGUAGUAGUGGAGGAAGAGCUUGCCAAGAACAUCACAAGAAGAAAAUUUACAUGGGAAAACAUUAUAAUUAGCAUCUCGAUACCAUCAACUGUUUUAAUCUAUUUUCAAUUCAUGAUCGACAAUUUUAGAUGCUGACAAACAUAAAAUAAUUAAAAGGAAAUUUUCCUUUUUGCCUACUUCUUGAAAGCUAACUUUUAAAGACUUUGUGUUAGGUAAACAGUAAAAAACAAAAUCACUUACCAAGGAUUAAUAUAAAAUGCCAAAAGAUAAUCAGUCCAAAGACAUGAGGGUAGCAGGGUUAAGAAAGCAAAUAUACUCCUACGCCUGUGAGCAUUAAUAGAUAACAGAUGUAAAGAUGAAAAAGUGGUAAGAGU